AUUGAACGCUGGCGGCAGGCCUAACACAUGCAAGUCGAGCGAGCGGCGGACGGGUGAGUAAUGUAUGGGGACUGCCCGAUAGAGGGGGAUAACUACUGGAAACGGUGGCUAAUACCGCAUACUAUCGGAUAACCCAUAUGGGAUUAGCUAGUAGGUGGGGUAAAGGCUCACCUAGGCGACGAUCUCUAGCUGGUCUGAGAGGAUGAUCCGCCCACCUGGGACCGAGACACGGCCCAGAUCCCACGGGGGGCAGCAGUUGGGAAUAUUGGCCAAUUGGGGGAAGCCCGAUGCAGCCCUGCCGGGGUUAUUAAGAAGGCCUUUGGGUUGUAAAGUACUUUCAGCGGGGAGGCGUUACCCGCAGAAGAAGCACCGGCUAACUCCGUGCCAGCAGCCGCGGUAAUUC
rnacentral:rRNA from 1 species